rnacentral:rRNA from 1 species
GAUGAACGCUAGCGGCAGGCUUAACACAUGCAAGUCGAGGGGUAGGUUACUUCGGUAAUUGAGACCGGCGCACGGGUGCGUAACGCGUAUACAAUCUACCUUUUACAGAGGGAUAGCCCAGAGAAAUUUGGAUUAAUACCUCAUAGUAUUUUUGAAUCGCAUGAUUUGAUUAUUAAAGUUCCAACGGUAAAAGAUGAGUAUGCGUCCCAUUAGCUAGAUGGUAAGGUAACGGCUUACCAAGACAAUGAUGGGUAGGGGUCCUGAGAGGGAGAUCCCCCACACUGGUACUGAGACACGGACCAGACUCCUACGGGAGGCAGCAGUGAGGAAUAUUGGACAAUGGGCGCAAGCCUGAUCCAGCCAUGCCGCGUGCAGGAAGACGGUCCUAUGGAUUGUAAACUGCUUUUAUACAGGAAGAAACCCUCCACGUGUGGGAGCUUGACGGUACUGUAGGAAUAAGGAUACGGGCUAACUACCGUGCCAG